UUAACCAAGCAUCUGUGGAUAGUUCUUAAUUCAUGAUUGAUUCUUUAAUUCUGGUAUCCAGUUCCUCGUUACAUCCAUGAUUAGACGACAUAAAUACAGAUUUUUGCGUCCUAAAAUGCCUGAAUUCUUGGCAGCUUUUCUAAAAAAUUGCGAUGUAAGUGCAUGUGUCACGACACAACAAAACAAGCGAGUGUCCAUCAAAAGUUUGCUCAACUCCACCAACAUCCUUUAACCUUAAUAUAUAGUAAAAAGACCAUGAAAGUCAUCGCAGACAAACUUGCUGCAUAUUAAGGGUUAUUCUUCAUGUCGCGUAUAAAGUAGCUGCCUGAGUUUAAGAGUGUGUUCAUGAUGAUAGGGCACUACUCUGGAUAAGGACAGGAGAUGCAGCGGCUCAGCUAAUGGCAGCUCUCAGGCCUACAGCCAGCCCCAUUAGGCAGUCGUAAUGCAAAAAGCUCACUACCCAAGGACAGGAAACACAGGAGCCCGGCUGAAGAGCACUUAUCAGAGCUCCAGUACGAGGAGGAGUGGGUGUCCCGGAAUCCGUGCAGCGCUGCCAGAGGGUGAAAGGAGUUUGUUAUCAGCAGCCGCAGCGCUAUCAUCCAGGGUUGGAAGGACGGACGGCGUGAAAAAGCAAACCUAGACGGAGCACUGCCAGACCAUCUGCCGAGCCAAGGACUCCUCUCUUCCAGACACUGACCGUCUGAACCUUGGCAGCAGUCGCCCUGUCCUGCUAGAAUACUGAUCUUCCUCUAAUGUAUGUGAGGCUGCCCGGAAACACGUAGAAGAAUGUAUUAAUUAAUUCAACAUGGAGCAGAAUCUGGAAGAUCUAAUAUUCCUUCAAUCCAAUUCCCAUUAGUUUGUAAAUCAAAAGUUCAUCUGUGUGGGGCCAAAAAUACAUAAAGAAAACUUUGUUUUCAUUCUAGUCUGUAACUAGGCUGUAAAUAGAUUAGUUAAGACAGUUUAAGUUGUUAAUUUUUAUAAGUAUGAAAGCAGCUGUAGAAAUAUGAUCAAGUACAAGCCAGGAUAAGAGUGUAAAGCAUCAUUAGUGGUCCUUUGAGGCUGCAGAGUUCCUUCUAUACAGUCAGUUACAUCUCAGUAUCAUAUCAAAAGGAUUCGUCUACUGGGGAGCAGGAAUCAGUACGCUUCAUGGUCUAUCUGUGUUUUAGUUUUGUAUUUAUCUUGAGUGAAGCUGCAUGAUUUUAUUUUACGAUUUGGAAUCUAUGGUGUGUUUUCUUUCUUUGAUACUCUAAGGAGAAUGAUGAUAAAUAUUUGGAACCAGACAUUUCCACAAACUCCAUCACUAAAGCUAGGGCUGGGCGAUAUGGCCAAAAAAUAAAAUCUCAAAUUUUUUUUUUUAGUCAUCUUGGACGAUUACGAUUUUAAUCGAUUUUUGUUGUUUCUUUGCGGACUGUUAGCUAUGGCUAGUGCUAGCCAUGCUGCACUCCCGUAGCUGCAGCACUCUUCCCAUUCUUUAGGAUGCCUCUGCAGGAGGUGCUGAAAGAGGUUAGUUGUGCUGCUACUCUUCGUUUUCACAGUACUUUUGCAAACCUUGCACAUGACUGUAGUUUGCUCUGUGUCAGUCUUGUCAAAGCCGAACCACUUCCAUAUAAUCGAUGUAACAUGAGGCCCUUUUCUCGCGACCAACUCUUCGUCUGCUGUUCUGUCCGCCAUGACAGGGGUGUGAGUGUUUUGGUGGAAGGAGAUGAGAGGCGGAAGCAAACGCCAGUGCACAAGUCAUGAAAGGCAGAAGAAGAAUCUGUAUUGUUAUAUAUUUAAGCUCGCCUCGAUUUUACGAUUUGGCAAAUUUUCAAAUCGUCAGGUUUUAAAAAGGCGAAUUAAUCGAAUUAAUUCGAUUUAUCGCUCAGCCCUAACUAAAGCCUUUGUUUUUCUGCCUUGACAACUGUUUAAAUAAAAGAGAACUCUUCAACAA